GUUUGACCGCUAGGUUUUAUGGGUAUUAUUUUAUUUGUCACAUGAGCUGAAUAUAACUGGUGUAGACUUUACUGUGAAAUGCUUGCUUACAGGCCCUUCCCAAAGAUGCAGAGUUUAAUAAUACAAAUAAAAUAGUAACACAAGGAAUAAAAAUAACCAAGAAUGGAGCUAUAUACAGGGAGUACCAGGUGGCAUCCUAUGAUGGUGCCAUGUUGAAAGUCACUGAGUUCUUCAGUAAAGCCAAUGUUCGCUAUGGAGAUAGCAUGGCUGCGUGUUUGAUUUUAUACUCCUGUCAGCAACGGGGGUCGCUGCAAUGGCGGAAUCCACUAACUGGAAGGGGUGUCCACAUACGUUUGUGUGUAUAUAUAGGGUAUGUACAUGAAGUGACUAGGCAUCAGGAUAGAUAAUGUGAGUAAAAUAAACAACCGAGUAGCAGCACAUGAUGCGUGUAAAAGUGUGUCAAUGUAGUGUGAGCAUGUACUAGUGUGUGUGUGUGUGUGUGUGUGUGUGUGUGUGUGUAUACAUAGUGAGUGUGCGAAGGAUCAGUGCAAGAGAGUCAGUGCAGCUAGUUUGGGUACCAAUCUGGCUACUUAGCAAUUUUAUGGCUUGGGGGUAGAAGCUGUCUCGGAGCCUGUUGGUCCGAGAGACGAUGCUACGGUACCAUUUGCCGGACAGUAGCAGAAUGAAUCAAAUCAAAUCAAAUGUAUUUAUAUAGCCCUUCGUACAUCAGCUGAUAUCUCAAAGUGCUGUACAGAAACCCAGCCUAAAACCCCAAACAGCAAGCAAUGCAGGUGUAGAAGCACGGUGGCUAGGAAAAACUCCCUAGAAAGGCCAAAACCUAGGAAGAAACCUAGAGAGGAACCAGGCUAUGUGGGGUGGCCAGUCCUCUUCUGGCUGUGCCGGGUGGAGAUUAUAACAGAACAUGGCCAAGAUGUUCAAAUGUUCAUAAAUGACCAGCAUGGUCGAAUAAUAAUAAGGCAGAACAGUUGAAACUGGAGCAGCAGCACAGUCAGGUGGAAGUUGAAACUGGAGCAGCAGCAUGGCCAGGUGGGCUGGGGACAGCAAGGAGUCAUCAUGUCAGGUAGUCCUGGGGCAUGGUCCUAGGGCUCAGGUCCUCCGAGAGAGAGAAAGAAAGAGAGAAGGAGAGAAUUAGAGAACGCACACUUAGAUUCACACAGGACACCGAAUAGGACAGGAGAGGUACUCCAGAUAUAACAAACUGACCCCAGCCCCC
ensembl:lncRNA